UUAAACAACGCCAUUUUAUUUUCUCCCGUUUCAUUUUCGAGUCACCUUAAGCGGCAUCUCUUUAUUCCCUCAUUGUGGUCGCUCUGGUGGCGGCAAGUUAGUCAGUUAAAUUUUCCCGCCUGGUCUUAUUGUUGCCUCAGGUCAGACGUCGCCUAUUUUUUCUGCCUGACAGUGUAAAUUAAUCUUUCCGAGUUGCCUCAGGCGGCGCCCAGUUAACGUUGGUCCGUCAUUGUUAUCACUCCGGUGGCGGCAAGUUACUCAUUUCAGUUUUCCUGCUUUGUCUUCGAGUUGCCUGAGAAGUGUCAGACGAGCGCGAGUUUUUUUUUCCUCGACAGUGCAAUCGCUCUGGCAGCUGCUAAGGUGGCUCCAAACUGGUCAUUUCAGUUUUCAUGCUUCGUCUUCGAGUUGCCUGAGAAGUGUCAGACGAGCGCGAGUUUUUUUUUUCCUCGACAGUGCAAUCGCUCUGGCAGCUGCUUAGGUGGCUCCAAACUGGUCAUUUCAACCUCUCCUGCUUCGUCUUCGAGAAGUCUUUUAGUCAUUCAGUGUCUUUUUUUUCCCAGACAGUAUCAUGACUUAGGUUGAUGCAGUGCAAGAUAUGCAGAUUUGAACACCCUGCCUAGGAGGUCCUUUUGAAACAUGACCAGUUGUGCCACUACCAGGGAAGAUACUGCCAACUACCCUGCCUCUACACAGAUUGCAUCUGCUCCUUUAAAACCACUGGUUGACGCCUCACCUUUUAAGAUCACACAAGUGCUUAUCUUCACGUGAGAGUCACUUAACAUUGAAUGAUGGAAUUGUGUGACUUUAAGGAAAUUUGUAAAACACCCUAUUACUCCAAACAUAUAAGGAGCCAUUUAAAAAAAAUAAUGAAACUUUAAGGUGCCCUUUUAGCCAAUGUGGUUUUUGAAACACAUCUGAUUUCAUCAUCCAGUGGUCACAGAAGUCAAAAUCAUUGCAGCUUUUCCAUUACAGACUUUAAAGCAAAUAUCAUUAUUCAAAAUGCAGAACCAAAAGACAGCGAGCCACAAACUGUUGUUAUGCACACACUUUUAUCACCAUUGCAGUUAAUUUUAUAUUGCUUGUGAUAGAUAUGAAGGACAGAUAUGGAAGCCAAUACAUUUUUUACUGGACCCGUUGUUAUUUUUGCACAUUAUUUUGGACUUGAAUUUUGUGAUAGUUAAUUUAAUUGGGAAAGCAUCAAAUAAAAACUGUGUAGAAGUUUUUAAUUUUGCAACACAAA